rnacentral:rRNA from 1 species
UACGGAGGGUGCGAGCGUUGUCCGGAAUCACUGGGCGUAAAGGGCGCGUAGGUGGCCUGUGGAAGUCUGCGGGGAAAGCCCGGCGCUCAACGCCGGGUCGGCCGUGGAUACUCUCGGGCUCGAGCUUACUAGAGGCAGAUGGAAUUCCGGGUGUAGCGGUGGAAUGCGUAGAGAUCCGGAAGAACACCGGUGGCGAAGGCGGUCUGCUGGGGUAAUGCUGACACUGAUGCGCGACAGCGUGGGGAGCAAACAGG